GAUUCGCAUGUGAGUCCGAUGAUUGAAUUGAGUUGAAUCAAGUAUCCUUUCUGUCUGAUGGUCCUGUAAGUUUCCGGGAUAAACUUAUGAAGAAGGUAGACUUGGUUAAGAAUGUGGGUAUCAACAUAGAUUGUUUGGAUGAUGCGUAUGAUGAUUUGAAUGAUGAGGAAGAUGUGAUAAUUUCUAGAGGUGAUCGUGGUCCUUGUAUUCAAUUUUCUGACCGUGCUAUGUCUCGUCUAGGCUAGCCUUGGGCGAAUGCCUUGAUUAUCAAACUUCUUGGUCAAUAUCACACAUACAAUUACCUCCACGCUCGACUAUGGCAGAAAUGGGAUUGAAGAGGUGGUGGAAAUUGGUUGAUCUAGUGAAUGAUUACUAUGUGGUUAAGUUUGAAUUAGAGGAGGAUCUCAAUUUUGUGUUAACUAGAGGUCCCUGGAUCAUUACAGGGCAAUACUUGGUUAUGCAAAAAUGGAGACCAGGAUUUUGUCCUGCGAUGGCUCAAAUUACGCAAAUGGCGGCUUGGAUUCAUGUUUCUGCGCUUCAGCUAGAAUGUUUUUAUGUUUAGGCUUUGAAGCGUAUUGGAAAUUUAUUGGGUAUGGGCACAAGAGAGGAUAGUUGUGAAAUGAAGGCCUCUGGUCAUGCUGACUCUGUUGAGGAGCUGCACCUUCCUAAUGAAGGAGUUGGUACAAGCUCGGACAUUGCUAUGUAAAAGGAUGGUGUUGAUGGUUUAAUGGGAGGUCUGAGGGGACCUUGGAUGAAUGUGCCGGCUUGAAGAAAACCCGAGGUUGUGGCUGCUGACAAAAGUUCUAAGGGUUCUGGCAAUAGGAACCAAGGGUCUAGGUUUGAUGCUUUACGCAAAAUAGGAGAGAAUUUUGGUUUGGAUGAGGGUUUGGUUAGUGGAAAUGGUGCCAAAACUGGUACAAGAAAGGUUGGUUCAUCUACGAGGGGUGCUAACAUGGGACAUAAAAUUUGGACUAAAUCCAAGACUAAUAAAACGGGCUUUAGGGCUGCUUUGCGUAAUAUCUCUAAUUCUUCUUUGAAGGAAAAUAUUCCACUGAAUAUGACUGGCCAAUGACUUGGUGAUUCUACCCGUGAGAGUGGUGGGACUUUGUCAAGUAAGGGUAAAAGAGUGGAAAAGCAGAUUUCUGUGCAAGAGUAGUUAAAUACUUGGGUGCGUGGUAACAAUGAAUAUACUGCUAAAGAUGUGUAUAUUUUUGGACACCAGCCACCUAGUAUUGAUGCAAGCGGUAAUGAGCAUGAAGAGGAGUGUGAUACAGAUACAGAUAUUGAUACUACUUCUUUGGUUUCCUCUGCAUAUGGUGGUGGGUUGCCGCAGGAGUAUAUGGAUAUGUCUGAAGGACAAAAGAUUUUCCCACAAGAGAAGACUACUAGUCAUGCCUCUAACAAUGUUGAAGGUCUGACUGUUGGUUCUUAAUUAGGGAUUAGCCCUAAGGGUUCUCGUAUUUUUCUAAUUCUUUUACGGAUUUAGUCUGUUGGAAUGUCAAAGGUGCUGCGUGCACAAGCUUUCGAAAUAAUGUUGCGGAGUUGAUCCGUGGUCAUCAUCUGGAUUUACUGUUUAUCUAUGAACCUAGGAUUAGCGAGAAGAAAGCCCUUGAUAUGAUUAAAUAUCUCUGGUUCUCUUCUUAUGAAAUUGUUGAUCUUGUGGGUUUCUCAAGAGGGUAAUGGUUAUUGUGGAAUGAUACUAAAGUUAGUGUCCAGAUUUUGGGCACUACUGAUCAAGUAA